rnacentral:rRNA from 1 species
AUUGAACGCUGGCGGCAUGCCUUACACAUGCAAGUCGAACGGCAGCACGGGAGCAAUCCUGGUGGCGAGUGGCGAACGGGUGAGUAAUAUAUCGGAACGUGCCCAGUCGUGGGGAUAACGUAGCGAAAGCUACGCUAAUACCGCAUACGAUCUAUGGAUGAAAGCGGGGGAUCGCAAGACCUCGCGCGAUUGGAGCGGCCGAUAUCAGAUUAGGUAGUUGGUGAGGUAAAGGCUCACCAAGCCGACGAUCUGUAGCUGGUCUGAGAGGACGAUCAGCCACACUGGGACUGAGACACGGCCCAGACUCCUACGGGAGGCAGCAGUGGGGAAUAUUGGACAAUGGGCGAAAGCCUGAUCCAGCAAUGCCGCGUGAGUGAUGAAGGCC